rnacentral:rRNA from 1 species
CUGCAUGAAGUCGGAAUUGCUAGUAAUCGCAGAUCAGCAUGCUGCGGUGAAUACGUUCCCGGGCCUUGUACACACCGCCCGUCACACCAUGGGAGUCGGUAACACCCGAAGUCGGUAGCCUAACCGUAAGGAGGGCGCCGCCGAAGGUGGGAUUGAUGACUGGGGUGAAGUCGUAACAAGGUAUC